AUUUGGGUAGAUUAAAUAAAUCAUAUUAUUGAAGAUAAUAAAACAGGUAUACCUCCCAAAUA
rnacentral:tRNA from 1 species